UGAUAACCAGUAGGAUACUGGAGUGGAUUUUGACACGCUUCACCCCUUCAUCUAAACCCGUUGAGAAUAGAGUAACAUCAACCGCAAUUCGGAUAAGACAGAGAGAGCAAAAGCUUAGCAAUGGCAGCUCUUCAUUAUUACUCUUCAGCUCUCCACUCUCUAUUCACAUCUCACUAUUACCGUACACAGUUUCGUCCUCCUCAUCGCCUGCUCCCCAAAGCCUCCUUCUCCUCCUCCUCCUCUCAAGACCAAUCUUCUUUAAUUACCCGUAGGCAGUUGAUAUCCGAGUCAGCAAUCGCCAUUUCUGUCUCGCCUUUUGUCGGAGGAGGAAAAUAUGGAAGUGCAUUAGCUGCCGAAGAACCACUGUCUGAAUGGGAAAGAGUUUUCCUGCCAAUUGACCCUGGUGUCGUCCUUCUUGACAUUGCCUUUGUCCCAGAUGAUCCAAAACACGGUUUUUUAUUGGGGACUAGACAAACUAUUUUGGAGACAAAAGAUGGAGGAAAUACAUGGGUACCACGUUCAAUACCCUCUGCAGAAGAAGAAGAUUUCAAUUACAGAUUUAACUCCAUCAGCUUCAAAGGCAAGGAGGGUUGGAUUAUUGGAAAACCAGCUAUUUUGUUGUACACUUCUGAUGCUGGAGAAACAUGGCAACGCAUACCGCUAAGUUCUCAACUUCCUGGUGACAUGGUGUAUAUAAAGGCCACGGGAGAAAAGAGUGCAGAAAUGGUAACUGAUGAAGGAGCAAUAUAUAUUACAUCAAACAAUGGAUACAACUGGAAAGCUGCUGUGCAGGAAACCGUUUCAGCUACUUUAAACAGAACAGUUUCUAGUGGUAUUAGUGGCGCGAGCUAUUACACAGGAACUUUUAAUACUGUGAAUCGCUCACCUGAAGGAAAUUAUGUUGCUGUUUCAAGCCGUGGUAACUUCUAUUUGACAUGGGAACCAGGGCAGGCAUACUGGCAGCCACAUAACAGGGCUGUUGCAAGACGAAUCCAGAACAUGGGCUGGCGAGCUGAUGGUGGUCUCUGGCUUCUUGUACGUGGUGGAGGGCUUUAUCUCAGCAAGGGCACUGGGAUAACAGAAGAAUUUGAAGAAAUACCGGUGCAAAGUCGUGGUUUUGGCAUUCUUGAUGUUGGGUACCGUUCUCAGGAGGAGGCUUGGGCUGCUGGUGGCAGCGGAAUUCUUCUAAAAACCAAGAAUAGUGGGAAGACAUGGAUUCGUGACAAAGCAGCUGAUAACAUUGCUGCCAAUCUGUAUUCUGUAAAGUUUAUCAAUGACAAACAAGGGUUUGUGCUAGGGAAUGAUGGUGUCUUACUAAAAUAUCUAGGGUGAAUCAACAGCAUGAUAUGUGUGUGUAGCAUUGGUGUGGGAGAUCGACUGUCGGAUCAUUGGCAUCUCCAUCUGCAUGUGCUACGAUCGAGGGCGACUUGUGUUAGUGACGAAGGUACUAAUUGUUAUCGACGACGGCUCGCGUCUCUGUUCAAUCCAACGAUCGACGCGAGCUUUGUGGAAUUUGCAGCUCGUGUCUUUGAGGAUUUUAUGACGAAGCAGAUUAUUGGUAAAGGACAUGUAUUUGAUGGUCUUUAUAUUCUUGAUGCAUAGGUGCCUCGAUCUGUUGCUUGUUCCAUGUCAUCACUCCAGUUGAACCACAUUGUCGGUUGGGACAUCCGUCUUUGCCUAUUUUGAAGAAGCUAUGUCCUCAGUUCCAUGAUGUAUUUUCACUAGAUUGUGAGUCAUGUCACUUUGCAAGACAUCACCGUAGCUCGUUAGGUCCAACAAUUAAUAAACGAGCUAAGUCCGCUUUUGUGUUGGUUCAUUCCGAUGUUUGGGGACCAUGUUGUGUCUAAAACUGGAUUCAAAUAUUUUAUUAUUUUUGUGAAUGAUUCUCUCGAAUGACAUGGAUUUAUUUUAAGAAAAAUU